UCCGGUGCAGAGCGGCAAGAGGGCAGCCGUCUCACCUGCGGCUCGCAGAGCUUGGCGCCAUAGGGGGAGGGCGGCUCAGGCAGGCGCUCCGGCCUCUGCUCGAACAUCGAGUCCUCAAAUUCUCCGCCCAGCACCCAGCAUCCGGUCUCCAUGGCGCGCGCGUGCAACCGGACCUCGAAAGGAGGCGACACCUAGAGCGACGCCCAUCACCCAGCCUCCAAAGCACCAGACGGCAGCCAGGCACCGAGACAAGGGCUUCCUGAACCUCCCAACAAAGGUUUUGACUUCUCUGUGUCAGGAGCUGGAUAGAGUACUUUUUCCCUGAGUACCUCGAAAAGUCAGGGUCGCUGGGGAGCUGGUUAACUUGAACUUCCCCGACUGCAGCAGUUUGACUUUGGCACAACAUCAAGUUCCAUUUCUUUUGGACAUUGGAUUCUGUUUUGAGAGUAUGUAUGCCCCAAAGCAUUUUCAGUGUCAUCAAGGAUUGGUUGGGCCCAUUCACAGUAAUUCAGAUAUCUUGAGUUGAAGAACUUAUUCUCCUUCAGAAUUUUAAGUAGCUAUAAAAGAAAAACAGACAAACAAAACCCUGAAACUUUAAAGACAACCACAUUUUAAUUUUUGCUUUUAGAAUAAAGUAAUAACCAGUUAGCCACAAAUGCAUUCUGCAUUCUCUUUAGCAGUGAGAUCACUUACC